rnacentral:rRNA from 1 species
GACAGAGGUGCCAAGCGUUUAGGCGGAAUCACUGGGCUUAAAGCGUGUGUAGGCGGAUUGGUAAGUACCUUGUGAAAUCCCACAGCUUAACUGUGGAACUGCUCGGUAUACUGCUGAUCUUGAGCCACUCAGGGGCUACCGGAACAAAUGGUGGAGCGGUGAAAUGCGUAGAUAUCAUUUGGAACGCCAAUGGUGAAAACAGGUAGCUGGGGGUGUGCUGACGCUGAGACACGAAAGCCAGGGGAGCAAACGGG